rnacentral:rRNA from 1 species
CAAUAGCGUAUAUUUAAGUUGUUGCAGUUAAAAAGCUCGUAGUUGGAUUUCGGGUGGGACCUGCCGGUCCGUCGUUGCGAUGUGCACUGGCCGGUCCCAUCUUGUUGUCGGGGACCAGCUCCUGGGCUUCACUGUCCGGGACUGGGAGCCGACGAAGUUACUUUGAGUAAAUUAGAGUGUUCAAAGCAAGCCUACGCUCUGAAUAUAUUAGCAUGGAAUAACACGAUAGGACUCUGGCUUAUCUUGUUGGUCUGUGAGACCAGAGUAAUGAUUAAGAGGGACAGUCGGGGACAUUCGUAUUUCAUUGUCAGAGGUGAAAUUCUUGGAUUUAUGAAAGACGAACUUCUGCGAAAGCAUUUGUCAAGGAUGUUUNCAUUA